rnacentral:snoRNA from 1 species
AUUGUUAUGAUGAAACACUUACUCAGCUCACUCAGAAUAUAUUUAAUGCUGAUAAAACCUCCUAUCCAACACUUAUCAAGAUUUCUGAUCUAUU